UACGUAGGGGGGCAAGCGUUGUCCGGAAUCAUUGGGCGUAAAGAGCGUGUAGGCGGCUCGAUAAGUCUGCUGUGAAAGUCCAGGGCUCAACCCUGGAAGGCCGGUGGAAACUGUCGGGCUAGAGUCCGGAAGAGGCGAGUGGAAUUCCCGGUGUAGCGGUGAAAUGCGCAGAUAUCGGGAGGAACACCAAUGGCGAAGGCAGCUCGCUGGGACGGUACUGACGCUGAGGCGCGAAGCGUGGGAGCAAACAGG
rnacentral:rRNA from 1 species